ensembl:snoRNA
AUGCGUGAUGACUGAAAUUUCUUCACUUUGACCUGAUGUCUGUUGAAGAAACCUAGCAUCUGAGC